UAAUACUGGAUAGGCAUUAUUCCUGUAAUGGUUUUUUGUUUAAAUGUUUUUUCGCCUAAGGAUGGGUCUGCGGCCGAUUAGGUAGUUGGUUAGGUAAUGGCUUACCAAGCCUUUGAUCGGUACGGGUUGUGAGAGCAAGAGCCCGGAGAUGGAACCUGAGACAAGGUUCCAGGCCCUACGGGGUGCAGCAGGCGCGAAACCUCCGCAAUGUGAGAAAUCGCGACGGGGGGAUCCCAAGUGCCAUUCUUGACGGGAUGGCUUUUCUUUAGUGUAAAAAGCUUUUGGAAUAAGAGCUGGGCAAGACCGGUGCCAGCCGCCGCGGUAACACCGGCAGCUCUAGUGGUAGCAGUUUUUAUUGGGCCUAAAGCGUCCGUAGCCGGUUUAAUAAGUCUCUGGUGAAAUCCUGCAGCUUAACUGUGGGAAUUGCUGGAGAUACUAUUAGACUUGAGAUCGGGAGAGGUUAGAGGUACUCCCAGGGUAGAGGUGAAAUUCUGUAAUCCUGGGGGGACCGCCUGUUGCGAAGGCGUCUGACUGGAACGAUUCUGACGGUGAGGGACGAAAGCUAGGGGCGCGAACCGGAUUAGAUACCCGGGUAGUCCUAGCUGUAAACGAUGCGGACUUGGUGUUG
rnacentral:rRNA from 1 species